rnacentral:rRNA from 1 species
GAUCUUUAUUUUUUAAUAUUUAUAAAUUAAAAAGAAUUUAAAAUAAUUAAUAUAUUUUAAAAAAUUUUAUUGGGGUGAUAAUAAAAUUUAAUUAACUUUUAUAUAAAAAUUAACAUAAAUAUAUGAAUAUUUGAUCCUAUUUUAUAGAUUAAUAAUUUAAGUUACCUUAGGGAUAACAGCGUAAUUUUUUUUUAGAGUUCAUAUCGAUAAAAAAGAUUGC